CCAAAAACCUAGCCCAAAAAUAACACUAUACUCACACCUUUCUAUAUUAACAAAAUAAAACAUUUUAAACUUCUAGUAGAGGCGAUCAAAAGACAAAUAGGCGCUUAAGAAAAAGUACCGAAAGGGAAAAAUGAAAUAAAAAUGAAAUAAAUUUAAAGUUUAUUAAAGCAGAGAUUUAAGCUCGUACCUUUUGCAUCAUGGUCCAGCCAGUCAAACCAAGCAAAACGAAAAUUUCAGUUUGCACCCCCGAAACUAAGCGAGCUACUUCAAAACAGCUUAAAGAGCCAACCCGUCUCUGUGGCAAUAGAGUGGGAAGAUUUUCAAGUAGUAGUGACAAGCCUAACGAGCUUAGAGAUAGCUGGUUGUUCAGGAAAAGAAUAUUAGUUCUGCCUUAAAUUUUUUAAUGUUACAAAACAAGCCUGAAAAUUUAAGAGUUAUUCAACUAAGGCACAGCUUAUUUGAAACAGGGUACAACCUAUACACCAGGGUAAGAUAUUAAACAUUUCAUCAAGUGGGCCUAAGAGCAGCCACCUUUUAAAAAGCGUUAAAGCUUAAUCCAUCUUAUUACUAGAUACCACAAACUUACACGAACCCCCACCCUCUACUGAACGACUCCAUAAAUAUAUGGAAAUCAUUAUGCUGGAACUAGUAACUAGAAUCUAAUAUUCUCCAAAAUGCAAGCAUAAGCCAAAAUGGAUAAACCAUUGGCCAUUAACGAAGAUGAAUAAAUCACAACAACAUAACAAGAAAACCCUGUGAAUAUUAUCGUUAACCUAACACCAGAGCAUUUCAGGAAAGAUUAAAAGAGAAAGAAGGAACUCGGCAAAUUUCAACCCCGCCUGUUUACCAAAAACAUCGCCUCUUGACAAAUCAUAAGAGGUCCAGCCUGCCCAGUGAUAAAAUUCAACGGCCGCGGUAUCCUAACCGCGCGAAGGUAGCAUAAUCACUUGUUCUUUAAAUAGGGACUAGUAUCAACGGCACCACGAGGGUUGCACUGUCUCCUCUCUCUAAUCAGUGAAACUGAUCUUCCCGUGAAGAAGCGGGAAUAAAACCAUAAGACGAGAAGACCCCAUGGAGCUUUAAACCUCAAAGCAACUCUGACACAUAAUUCACCACAACCAACAGAGCUGUGCAAGUCGGUUUUAGGUUGGGGCGACCGCGGAGUAAAAAUUAACCUCCACGACGAAAAGAACUAGAUCUUUAUCUAAGAGCUACCCCUCUAAGAAUUAGUAAACUAACGAAUAAAUGACCCGAUUAUCGAUCAACGGACCAAGUUACCCUGGGGAUAACAGCGCAAUCUACUUCAAGAGCCCAUAUCGACAAGUAGGCUUACGACCUCGAUGUUGGAUCAGGGUAUCCCAGUGGUGCAGCCGCUACUAAAGGUUCGUUUGUUCAACGAUUAAAACCCUACGUGAUCUGAGUUCAGACCGGAGUAAUCCAGGUCGGUUUCUAUCUAUUAAGCGUUACUCCUAGUACGAAAGGAUCAGAGUAACAUGGCCAAUGCCUAAUUAAGCCAUCAUCUAUAUCAAUGACAUCAACUUAAUUGACACAGACCUCUUCCAACGUUAAAGACAAAUAACUUG
rnacentral:rRNA from 1 species